ensembl:snRNA U6 U6 spliceosomal RNA
GUGCUCACUUCGACAGCACACAUACGAAAAUUGGAACGAUACGGAGAAGUUUGGCAUUGCCCCUGUUGCAAGGAUGACACACAAAUUUGAGAAGAGUUCCAUAUUUUU